rnacentral:lncRNA from 1 species
AACAGGCUGGGAGAGAACAGCCUGUUCAGAAUCUCUGACGUGAGAGCAUCCUGGCUUACUUGGCAACUAUGAUUAUGAUGUGUUCCUGGACUGUACAGUCUAUUAGGAGGGUGCAGUGGGGUGGGGAAAAAGCCAGCGAGAUAGGGCUGGGUAAGCUGGCAGCCUGGGGUUCUCAUACCAACCAACAGCAGAGACCAAAAUAAUUGCCUUAAGAACUUCCCAAGUUAGCCCCUGCUCACCCAAAUGGCUGCCACAGGAUUCAAAAAGGCGACAGGCUCCGGGCAAUGAGCUCAAGUUGGCAAGAGAUGAGCCUUUAGCAGAUGCUGGAAGUCAGGUACUUACUGUUUUCAGUGGCCCACCCAGCAUUAUCACUGGAACACUAGUUUUGGAACUCUCUAAGUCAUAAGUCAUGGUUGUGCCUCUGUUUCUGCUACUCUCAUCAUUGCAGAAUCUCAGAUGCUGGAGCCACCAACGGAAGCAAAGCAAAGAAAAACUGUACCCUUCACGGUGCCUGUCAGCGUUGGGCAAAAGGCUGAGAAGGAAGGGCUGGCUGUACGUCUUGGGAUGGGGGUCCAAACCCCUUUCAGCCACUGUCUGCAGUGUCCGCAGCCUCCACCCCUGGUCUGCUUCCUCCGAACCACUCCGGGGUGGUUUGGCAAGAAUAUCGUCUGAGAAUACUGACCUGGUGUAUUUGUUCUGUUAUAACUAAAUACCUGAGACUGAAUAAUCUAUAAUAAAAAGUAAUUUUUCAAAGUUCUGGAGGUUGGGAAGUCAAGAUGAAGGCCCGUUCUUUAUCUUCCUGCUGAAUCGUUACUCAUCACAUGGCGGACCUGCCAGGGGUACAAAAAGAGAAUCAGUUCCCUGCAUCCCUCAUCUGAGAGCCCCACUCUCUUGGCUGACUUGAUACCUGCUGGUGGCCCCAUCUCUGGAUAAGGUCAGACUAGCAAUUAAGUUCCAGCAUAUGAAUUUGGGGAAACGUGAUCUGACCACAGUGAGGACCUAAAGGAUCUUCGUACACCCUCUAAACAGCAUCUUCUGUGAGCUCCUGCAGCCACUGUAAAAAGCUAUCAGGGCAGGUGUAACAGCUCAGCAGAUAAAAGCGUUUGCUGUAGCUCAAGCCUAGUGACUGGAUUCUAUCCCUGGGACCCACAUGGUGGAAGGAGAGAACAAUCUCCAAAAAGUUGCCUUUUGACCUUCGUGUGGGUCCUGUGGUACACACGCACUCAUGCCCACAAACACGAAUGGCAGGUUCAAAUUAAUUUCAAACUCUAUAAAUUGUGAGGUCCCAUGGCACUUCAAGCCUCUCUAAAGAGCACAACGUGAUUUUGGAAAAGAAAUUAUGCCUUAAAUUGCCCAUAAAACAGAGAACUGGGAGCUGACAUUUGUCAAAGGAUUACUAUGUGGCAAACUGGCCUUUGUUGGUUUGAAUAAAUUAUGCAUUUUCUAUGGCUUUUAGUCUAGUUUAAAAAUAGAGAGGACAACUUCUUUCUUAUAAGCUGAAUGAGUCCCAAAUAGCUAAGUAGCAGGAGCCAGUGUGUUCCCAAGAGCUGAGAAGUGCAUGUCAGCCUGGAAGCCUAUCCACCUGCCUCUCUCCUUGUUCAUGGCUGGAGCUUGUUGCUAUCACAUGAGGGUUUUUUGCCUUUUUUGUUCGUUUUUCAAGAAAAAGCAGAAAUCUAGGUCUUCUAUAUACAACUUUAGGAUUCCAUGCAUUGGUUCUAACUGAAGGAAUAUCUACAGGCUGAGAUGAACGUAUCCACUGGCCAUUUUUCAACACCUGAUCUGCUUCAUCGACUUGUUUCAGGGAAAGGGUAAAAGCUUUGAAGAUAAGGAGAGUGCUGGGUUGGUGUUUUGUGUCAACUUGACACAAGCUAGAGUCCUUUAGUAAAAGUGACUCUCAACUGAGGAAAAAGAAAAAAGGCUUCCAGAAGAUUGACCUGUAGGCAACUCUGUGAGGCCUUUUCUUGAUUAAUGGCUGAUGGGGGGAGCCUAUAAUGACUGCUGUCAUCCCUAAGCUUAUGACCCUGGGGUUCUAUAAGAAGUAAAGCUGAGCAGGCCAUGGGGAGUGUUAAAGUAUCUUUUAUUUGCCUGUCAUCUUGGAGGCUUACUGCCUCAGUCUGCUAACCUAGACCUAGUCCUGGAAGCUUCUAGCCUCUGUACAGUCUAAUCUAGCACUAGACUGUUUCUAGCCUCUGAGACUUGCUGCUGAAUAAACUCACCUUUUCUAAUUCUUUCUGAACUCUUACAGGUUGGUUCAACUCAGCUGUUCUGGCUCAAAUGCCUCUCCAAGCUGACAGAUUCAAUCUAGCUUCUCUUUUGGCCUCUGACUUGUUUGCUCUGCUUGGCCUCAAACUACCCUUGGCAAUAUGUUCUAAUCGUCUGUCUCAGUACAACUAUCUCAAUAAAAAAAAAAAAACCCUCCUCUCUCUGCCUGCACUGCCCCUCAAGUGGCUUCCCUUUCCUCUCUCCACUUGUGAGAGUUGGGCAUAUCUAAUUCUGUCAAAUCUUUCUCUGAUUCAUCACUUUGUCUGCCACUCAAUUAGACAUCACUUUCAAACAUGGGUGCUUCUUUCUACAAAUUAACUUUACCUUCAUUGUUUGGGAUUAAAUGUGUGCACUAAAGGCCUGUCUGUAUUGCAGUCAAAGGGAUUUUAGAUGUGUGCUAAGGGUGAGCCACACCACAACUAGAAACAGGUUUUUCCAGUAAACGAAACAAUCUCAGGGUUCCGAAGUAUGAUCAACUGUCUUGCAAGAGCAAGCCAGUAAGCAGCACCCAUACAUGCAUGCCCUCUGCAUUAGCUUCUGCCUCCAGGUUCCUGCCCUGUCCUGAUGUUCUUCAAUGGUGGACUAUUAUGUGGAAGUGUGAGCCAAAUGAACCCUUCCCUCCUCAAACAGCUUUUGACCAUAGGUUUUACCACAGCACUAGAAACGCUAAGACAUACUGCAAAUGUUCACUCUGUUUAACACACCCUUGAACUGAGUCUUCGUAUACAAAUGUAAUUAGGCCUCUGAGGCUAUAAAGGAGAUGAAACUUUUACCUUAUUUGAUAAUGAAAGUAAGGAAGAGAAACUGAGAGUUUUGCUAUGCCACAUAGUAAGAAGAAGUGGAGUGGACUCUGAAGCAGAGCAGGGCCACCAGCUACAGACUUCACCACUCUCAGCCAGAGCAUUGUGCUUGCAAGACUAAUGGUUCGGUUUCCAGCCAGAUGUGCACGGAUGCUCAGCCAAUACAGAAUCCUUCUCACAUCCCUUUCUAUGCUUUAAGGCAUUUUAAGGGGAUUUUUCUGACACUAAUAGGGGCUGUUUGGUAGUUUCAAUACAAUGGAAGUUGACAUUUCAAUUUGAUACCUCAAAAAAUUCUACAAUGUUCAACAUAAUGAUGGAAUUUAUGUGGUCUUGACUGGGACUUUGAGCAGUCAUAAUGGCAUCUGGACUUAGCUCUUGCUCACCAAUAGACAAAGCUAUACUAAAGAUGGUGAAAUGGUACACCUUUGGAGAAGACCACAGCCCCAGAGAGAUGCCACUCUUUUUUUUUUUGGUUGUUUCUCUGUAUAGUAGUUCUGGCUGUCCUGGAACUCUGGAACUCACUCUGUAGACCAGGUUGGCCUCGAACUCAGAAAUCCACUUGCCUCUGCCUCCCAAAGUGCUGAGAUUAAAGGCGUUGCACCACCACUGCCCAGCGAAAUGCCACUCUUAAAAGAUACAUUGUCACAUGUGUGACACACACUUGUACCCUUCCCCUGCCUC